rnacentral:tRNA from 1 species
AGUAUAGUAAGCUAAAUAAAGCUAUUGGGCCCAUACCCCAAACAUGUUGGUUAGAAUCCUUCCUGUAUUA